rnacentral:rRNA from 1 species
AAUGGGGGCAACCCCGAUCCAGCCAUGCCGCGUGAGUGAAGAAGGCCUUCGGGUUGUAAAGCUCUUUCGGCCGGGAAGAAAUCGCAUGGGUGGAUACCCUGUGUGGACGACGGUACCGGAACAAGAAGCACCGGCUAACUACGUGCCAGCAGCCGCGGUAAUACGUAGGGUGCGAGCGUUAAUCGGAAUUACUGGGCGUAAAGCGUGCGCAGGCGGUUUCGUAAGACAGAUGUGAAAGCCCCGGGCUCAACCUGGGAAGUGCAUUGGUGACUGCGAGACUAGAGUGUGUCAGAGGGAGGUAGUAUUCCACGUGUAGCAGUGAAAUGCGUAGAGAUGUGGAGGAAUACCGAUGGCGAAGGCAGCCUCCUGGGAUAACACUGACGCUCAUGCACGAAAGCGUGGGGAGCAAA